GGGUCAUUCACCAUUUCUUCGAACGUAUAAGGAAGGUGUAUGUUAUGUAUAAAACUUUUCGAUCAGAAUUAAUAUCGUGAGUCAUAUUGGGGUCACGAGGAGUUCAGUGAAAACAAACACCUGCUAGUAUAGAAAGGACGGAUAUAGAUAAGUUUGACAUUCACAUAUUGAAACUUGUUCUACCAGGAUUGUAACGUAUUCCGUCCUCUGGCUGAUAUCAGAGAUGUAUAAGGGACUGUUUGGAGCCAUUCUCCUGGUGUGCGUCAUCAUCAACGUACAAGCCUGCAGUGACCACUACCAGUCCAAACGUUGCUAUUGUCUCUGCGAAGACACGCUUCUGACUCCCUGUCUCAGCGGCUGCAGCUCCCAAGCUACUUCCGCUCCAGACUCUGGACAUCACCAUCACCAAUCGGUCUGUGAUAUCCGUUGCCAUGACCACAUGUCAGCCUGUCUCACACACUGCAAUUGGGGUAUAUUUCCCAGCUCUCAGCCAAUAGUAGGCUAGGUAACAAACAACUCUUCCGGUUUUCAACACCACCCAACGUCGACUACAUAUAUAUUUUGAAGAAAGAGAUGCACUACUUUAGAAACCAACAGUGAAAAUGAUUUAAUUUAUUUGAACCAGUACAGGGCUUAUAUACAUCAAAACCCUGUUAAAGGAUCGAAAGACGCUGAAACAGUACUAAAUAGUUACUCGUGCGGGUUUUUAAAGUCAUCUAUUAUAGCUCUGUAAUAUUUGGAUAUUUGCCGUAUUUUACUAGUUCGAAAUAAAAUAUAUCUCAAUAACUAAUUAACCUCAAUAAAAAUUGUGAAAUUG